rnacentral:lncRNA from 1 species
GGUGAUGUCCAUCUAUGAGAGGGGAUGUGUGAUCUACGAACCCUUGUAGACCGUACAGCAGAAGCGUUUGUGAACGCGGUUGAUGUAGUGGAACGUCCUCACGUCCCUCGAUCCGCCCCGCGAACCGUCCCGCGAUCAGUCCCACGAUCUAGUGCCGAACGGACGGCACCUCCGCGUUCAGCACACGUACAGCUCGACGAUGAUCUCGGCCUUCUUGAUCCAGCAAGAGAGACGGAGAGGUAGAAGAGUUCUCCGGCAGCGUGACGGCGCUCCGGAGUUUGGUGGUGAUCUUAUCUCAGCAGGGCUCCGCCCGAGCUCCGCAGAAACGCGAUCUAGAGGAAAAACCGUGGAGGUAUGUGGUCGGGCUGCCGUGGAAAAGUCGUGUCAAAUCAACCCUAAAACCUCCGUAUAUAUAGAGGGAAGAGGGGGAGCCUUUCCUUGGGGUCCAAGGACCCCUAAGGGCUUCGGCCGAGCCAAGGGGGGCAGCCCUUCCCUUCCAAACCGAGUCCAACUAUGUUUGGAAGGAGGAGUCCUUCCCCCUUUUCCCACCUCCUCUUUUUUUUUCUCUUUGAUUUUCUUCCUAUGGUGCAUAGGGCCUUCUUGGGCUGUCCCACCAGCCCACUAAGGGCUAGUGCGCCACCCCCAAGGCCUAUGGGCUUCCCCGGGGUGGGUUGCCCCCCGGUGAACUCCCGGAACCCAUUCGUCAUUCCCGGUACAUUCCCGGUAACUCCGAAAACCUUUCAGUAAUCAAAUGAGGUCAUCCUAUAUAUCAAUCUUUGUUUCCGGACCAUUCUGGAAACCCUCGUGACAUCCGUGAUCUCAUCCGGGACUCCGAACUACAUUCGGUAACCAACCAUAUAACUCAAAUACACAUAAAACAACGUCGAACCUUAAGUGUGUAGACCCUGCGGGUUCGAGAACUAUGUAGACAUGACCCGAAAGACUCCUCGGUCAAUAUCCAAUAGCGGGACCUGGAUGCCGAUAUUGGAUCCUACAUAUUCUACGAAGAUCUUAUCGUUUGAACCUCAGUGCCAAGGAUUCAUAUAAUCCCGUAUGUCAUUCCCUUUGUCCUUCGGUAUGUUACUUGCCCGAGAUUCGAUCGUCAUUAUCCGCAUACCUAUUUCAAUCUCAUUUACCGGCAAGUCUCUUUACUCGUUCCGUAAUACAAGAUCCCGCAACUUACACACAAAGUAUUCCUCCCGUGUCAGUGAGUUAUAUGAUCUCAUGGUCAUAGGAACAAAUACUUGACACGCAGAAAACAGUAGCAACAAAAUGACACGAUCAACAUGCUACGUCUAUUAGUUUGGGUCUAGUCGAUCACAUGAUUCUCCUAAUGACGUGAUCCAGUUAUCAAGCAACAACACCGUAUUCAUAAUCAGAAGACACUGACUAUAUUUGAUCAACUGGCUAGCCAACUAGAGGCUUGCUAGGGACAGUGUUUUGUCUAUGUAUCCACACAUGUAUAUAAGUCUUCAUUCAAUACAAUUAUAGCAUGGAUAAUAAACGAUUAUCUUGAUACAGGAAUUAUAAUAAUAACUAUAUUUAUUAUUGCCUCUAGGACAUAAUUCCAACAGUAUCCCACUUGCACCAGAGUCAAUAAUCUAGCCCUCACAUCAUCAUGCGAAUUACAUUGUAAUAAAUCUAACACCCAUACAAUUCUGGUGUUGAUCAUGCUUUGCCCGUGGAAGAGGUUUAGUCAGCGGGUCUGCUACAUUCAGAUCCGUGUGCACUUUGCAUAUAUUUACGUCCUCCCCUUCGACGUAGUCGUGGAUGAGGUUGAAGCGUCAUUUGAUGUGUCUGGACUUCUUGUGAAACCGUGGUUCCUUUGCUAAGGCAAUGACACCCGUGUUGUCACAGAACAAGGUUAUUGGAUUCAAUGCACUUGGCACCACUCCAAGAUCCGUCAUGAACUGCUUCAUCCGGACACCCUCCUUAGCUGCCUGCGAGGCAGCCAUGUACUCCGCUUCACAUGUAGAAUCUGCUACGACGCUUUGCUUGGAACUGCACCAGCUUACCGCACCCCCAUUAAGAAUAAAUACGUAUCCGGUCUGCGACUUAGAGUCGUCCGGAUCUGUGUCAAAGCUUGCAUCGACGUAACCCUUUACGGUGAGCUCUUCGUCACCUCCAUACACGAGAAACAUCUCCUUAGUCCUUUUCAGAUACUUCAGGAUAUUCUUGACCGCCGUCCAGUGAUCCACUCCUGGAUUACUCUGGAACCUACCUGCCAUACAUAUGGCCAGGCUAACGUCCGGUCUAGUGCACAACAUUGCAUACAUGAUAGAACCUAUGGCUGAAGCAUAGGGGACGGUGCUCAUAUGCUCUCUAUCCUCAUCAGUUGCUGGGCACCGAGUCUUACUCAAUCUCGUACCUUGUAAAACUUGCAAGAACCCUUUCUUGGACUGUUCCAUUUUGAACCUCUUCAAAACUUUAUCAAGGUAUGUGCUUUGUGAAAGUCCUAUUAGGCAUUUUGAUCUAUCCCUAUAGAUCUUAAUGCCUAGAAUGUAAGCAGCUUCUCCUAGGUCCUUCAUAGAGAAACUUUUAUUCAAGUAAUCCUUUAUGCUCUCCAAAAACUCUAUGUUGUUUCCAAUCAGCAAUAUGUCAUCCACAUAUAAUAUUAGAAACGCCACAGAGCUCCCACUCACUUUCUUGUAAAUACAAGAUUCUCCAACCACUUGUAUAAACCCAAAUGCUUUGAUCACCUCAUCAAAGCGUUUGUUCCAACUCCGAGAUGCUUGCACCAGUCCAUAAAUGGAUCGCUGGAGCUUGCACACCUUGUUAGCGUUCUUAGGAUCGACAAAACCUUCGGGUUGCAUCAUAUACAACUCUUCCUUAAGGAAACCGUUAAGGAACACUGUUUUGACAUCCAUCUGCGAGAUUUCAUAAUCGAAAAAUGCAGCUAUUGCUAACAUGAUUCUGACGGACUUAAGCAUCGCUACGGGUGAGAAUGUCUCAUCGUAGUCAACUCCUUGAACUUGUGAAAAACCCUUUGCCACAAGUUGAGCUUUAUAAACGGUCACAUUGCCGUCAGCGUCCGUCUUCCUCUUAAAGAUUCAUUUGUUCUGAAUAGCCUUGCGGCCCUCAGGUAGUACUUCCAAAGUCCACACUUUGUUCUCAUACAUGGAUCCUAUCUCGGACUUCAUGGCUUCUAGCCAUUUGUUGGAAUCUGGGCCCACCAUUGCUUCUUCAUAAUUUGCAGGUUCAUUGUUGUCUAACAACAUGAUUGACAAGACGGGAUUACCGUACCACUCUGGAGCAGCACGUGGUCUCGUCGACCUCCGUGGUUCGACAGAAACUUGAACCGGAGUUUCAUGAUCAUCAUCAUUAACUUCGUCCUCAACCGGCGUCGCAACGACAGAGGUUUCCCCUUGCCCUGCGCCACCAUCCAGAGGGAUGAGAGGUUCGACAACCUUAUCAAGUUCUAUCUUCCUCCCACUCAAUUAUCUCGAGAGAAACUCCUUCUCGAGAAAAGCUCCGUUUUUAGCAACAAACACUUUGCCCUCGGAUUUGAGAUAGAAGGUGUACCCAACUGUCUCUUUUGGGUAACCUAUGAAGAAGCACUUUUCCGUUUUGGGUUCCAGCUUUUCAGGCUGAAGCUUUUUGACAUAAGCAUCACAUCCCCAAACUUUAAGAAACGACAACUUUGGCCUUUUGCCAUACCACAGUUCGUAUGGUGUCCUCUCAACGGAUUUUGAUGGUGCCCUAUUUAAAGUGAAUGCAGCUGUUUCUAAUGCAUAACCCCAAAACGAUAACGGCAAAUCGGUAAGAUACAUCAUAGAUCGCACCAUCUCUAAUAAAGUACGAUUACGACGUUCGGACACACCAUUACGCUGUGGUGUUCCAGGCGGUGUCAACUGUGAAACAAUUCCACCUUGUCUUAAGUGAGCACCAAACUCGAAACUCAGAUAUUCACCCCCACGAUCAGACCGUAGGAACUUGAUCUUCUUGUUACGAUGAUUUUCAACUUCACUCUGAAAUUGCUUGAACUUUUCAAAUGUUUCAGACUUGUGCUUCAUUAAGUAGACAUAACCAUAUCUACUCAAAUCGUCAGUGAAGGUGAGAAAAUAAUGAUAUCCGCCGCGUGCCUCUACGCUCAUCGAACCACACACAUCGGUAUGUAUGAUUCCCAACAAGUCACUUGCACGCUCCAUUGUUCCAGAGAACAGAGUUUUAGUCAUCUUGCCCAUGAGGCAUGGUUCACACGUGUUAAGUGAAUCAAAGUCAAGUGACUCCAAAAGUCCAUCGGCAUGGAGUUUCUUCAUGCGCUUUACACCAAUAUGACCUAAGCAGCAGUGCCACAAAAAUAUGGCGCUAUCAUUGUUAACUCUAACUCUUUUGGUCUCAAUGUUAUGUAUGUGUGUAUCGCUAUCAAGAUUCAAUAUGAACAAUCCUCUCACAUUGGGUGCAUGACCAUAAAAGAUGUUACUCAUAGAAAUAGAACAACCAUUAUUCUCUGACUUAAAAGAGUAACCGUCUCGCAAUAAACAAGAUCCAGAUAUAAUGUUCAUGCUCAACGAGUGCACUAAAUAACAAUGAUUUAAGUUCAUAACUAAUCCUGAUGGUAACUGAAGUGAAACUGUGCGGACGGCGAUUGCAUCAACCUUGGAACCAUUUCCUACGCGCAUCGUCACUUCAUCUUUCGCCAGCCUUCGUCUAUUCCGCAGUUCCUGUUUCGAGUUGCAAAUAUGAGCAACAGAACCGGUAUCGAAUACCCAGGCACUACUACGAGAGGCGGUUAAGUACACAUCAAUAACAUGUAUAUCAAAUAUACCUGAUUUUUCUUUGGCCGCCUUCUUAUCAGCCAGAUACUUGGGACAAUUGUGCUUCCAGUGACCCAUACCCUUGCAAUAGUAACACUCUGUUUCAGCCUUAGGUCCAGCUUUGGGUUUCUUCGUCGGAUUGGCAACAGGCUUGCCGCUCUUCUUUGAAUUACCCUUCUUGCCUUUGCCGUUUCUCUUGAAACUAGUGGUCUUAUUCACCAUCAACACUUGAUGCUCUUUGCGGAGUUCAGACUCUGCGACUUUCAGCAUCGCAAACAACUCGCCGGGAGACUUGGUCAUCCCUUGCAUGUUGUAUUUCAGCACAAAGCCUUUAUAGCUUGGCGGCAGUGAUUGAAGGAUUCUGUCAGUGAUAGCUUCUUGUGGGAGUUCAAUCCCCUGCUCAGCUAGACGGUUUGAGUACCCAGACAUUUUGAGCACAUGUUCACUGACAGACGAGUUCUCCUCCAUCUUGCAAGCAUAGAAUUUAUCGGAGGUCUCAUACCUCUCGAUCCGGGUGUUCUUCUGAAAGAUAAACUUCAACUCCUGGAACAUCUCAAAUGCUCCAUGACGCUCAAAGCGACGUUGAAGUCCCGGUUCUAGGCCAUACAAGACUGCACAUUGAACUACUGAGUAGUCCUCCUUACGUGCUAACCAAGCGUUCUUAACAUCCUGAUCAGCCGUAGAGGGUGGUUCAUCUCCUAGCGCAGCAUUAAGGACAUAAUCCUUCUUCCUAGCUUGUAAGAUUAGUUUAAGAUUAUGAGCCCAGUCUACAAAGUUGCUUCCAUCAUCUUUCAACUUUGCUUUCUCUAGGAACGUAUUAAAAUUCAGGGUGACUGUCGCGUGAGCCAUGAUCUACAACACAAAUAUAUUCAAACUGGACUUAGACUAUGUUCAAGAUAAUUAGAGUUUAACUUAAUCAAAUUACUCGCUAAACUCCCACUCAAAAAGUACAUCUCUCUAGUCAUUUGAGUGGUUCAUGAUCCACUUACACUAGCUCAAGUCCGAUCAUCACGUGAGUUGAGUAUAGUUUCAGUGGUAAGCAUCCCUAUGCUAAUCAUAUCAUCUAUAUGAUUCAUGAUCGACCUUUCGGUCUCAUGUGUUCCGAGGCCAUGUAUGCACAUGCUAGGCUCGUCAAGCUUAACCCGAGUGUUCCGCGUGCGAAACUGUUUUGCACCCGUUGUAUGUGAACGUUGAGUCUAUCACACCCGAUCAUCACGUGGUGUCUCGGAACGACGAACUGUAGCAACGGUGCACAGUCGGGGAGAACACAAUUUCAUCUUGAAAUUUUAGUGAGAGAUCACCUCAUAAUGCUACCUCGUUCUAAGCAAAAUAAGGUGCAUAAAAGGAUUAACAUCACAUGCAAUUCAUAAGUGACAUGAUAUGGCCAUCAUCACGUGCUCCUUGAUCUCCAUCACCAAAGCACCGGCAUGAUCUUCUUGUCACCGGCACCACACCAUGAUCUCCAUCAACGUAUCGCCAUCGGGGUUGUCGUGCUACUCAUGCUAUUACUACUAAAGCUACAUCCUAGCAAAAUAGUAAACGCAUCUGCAAGCACAAACAUUAGUAUAAAGACAACCCUAUGGCUCCUGCCGGUUGCCGUACCAUCGACGUGCAAGUCGAUAUUAUCUAUUACAACAUGAUCAUCUUAUACAUCCAAUAUAUCACAUCACGUCGUUGGCCAUAUCACAUCACAAGCAUACCCUGCAGAAACAAGUUAGACGUCCUCUAAGUUUGUUGUUGCAUGUUUUACGUGGUGACCAUGGGUAUCUAGUAGGAUCGCAUCUUACUUACGCAAACACCACAACGGAGAUAUAUGAGUUGCUAUUUAACCUCAUCCAAGGACCUCCUCGUUCAAAUCCGAUUCAACUAAAGUUGGAGAAACUGACACUUGCCAGUCAUCUUUGAGCAACGGGGUUACUCGUAGCGAUGAAACCAGUCUCUCGUAAGCGUACGAGUAAUGUCGGUCCAAGCCGCUUCAAUCCAACAAUACCGCGGAAUCCAGAAAAGACUAAGGAGGGCAGCAAAACGCACAUCACCGCCCACAAAAACUUUUGUGUUCUACUCGAGAAGACAUCUACGCAUGAACCUAGAUCAUGAUGCCACUGUUGGGGAACGUCGCAUGGGAAACAAAAAUUUUCCUACGCGCACGAAGACCUAUCAUGGUGAUGUCCAUCUACGAGAGGGGAUGUGUGAUCUACGUACCCUUGUAGACCGUACAACAGAAGCGUUUGUGAACGCGGUUGAUGUAGUGGAACGUCCUCACGUCCCUCGAUCCGCCCCGCGAACCGUCCCGCGAUCAGUCCCACGAUCUAGUGUCGAACGGACGACACCUCCGUGUUCAGCACACGUACAGCUCGACGAUGAUCUCGGCCUUCUUGAUCCAGCAAGAGAGACGGAGAGGUAGAAGAGUUCUCCGGCAGCGUGACGGCGCUCCGGAGGUUGGUGGUGAUCUUAUCUCAGCAGGGCUCCG